rnacentral:rRNA from 1 species
GGUGAUUCAUAGUAACCGAACGGAUCGCAUUAUAAUUAUCAUUAUUUGAUGAUUGGCGAUAGAUCAUUCAAGUUUCUGACCUAUCAGCUUUCGACGGUAGUGUAUUGGACUACCGUGGCAGUGACGGGUAACGGGGAAUUAGGGUUCGAUUCCGGAGAGGGAGCCUGAGAAACGGCUACCACAUCUAAGGAAGGCAGCAGGCGCGCAAAUUACCCAAUCCUGACUCAGGGAGGUAGUGACAAGAAAUAACAACACUGGAAAUUUGAUUUCUAGUGAUUGGAAUGAUGGGAAUCCAAACCCCUUUCAGAGUAACAAUUGGAGGGCAAGUCUGGUGCCAGCAGCCGCGGUAAUUCCAGCUCCAAUAGCGUAUAUUAAAGUUGUUGCAGUUAAAAAGCUCGUAGUUGGAUGUCUGUUGGAAGCAAUCAUCAGUCCGCCCUAUUUGAUUAGGGUGUGAAUAUGAUGAAUUCCGGCAUAAUUGUCUCCCUAUUGUUAAUAUUCUGAUUGUUAGAUUCAUUUCUAACAAUAAUACGAUUAUUAAUAAUAAGGGGGAAAUGUUACUUUGAGAAAAUUAGAGUGUUUGAAGCAGGCUUUUGUUGCCUUGAAUACUGCAGCAUGGAAUAACAAUAUAGGAUUUCGGUUCUAUUUUGUUGGUUCUUUUUUUAGGACUGAAAUAAUGAUUAAUAGGGACAGUUGGGGGCAUUCGUAUUUAACUGUCAGAGGUGAAAUUCUUAGAUUUGUUAAAGACGAACUACUGCGAAAGCAUUUGCCAAAGAUGUUUUCAUUAAUCAAGAACGAAAGUUAGGGGCUCGAAGACGAUCAGAUACCGUCGUAGUCUUAACCAUAAACUAUGCCGACUAGAGAUAGGAAAUUGUCAUUUUACUUGACUUCUCCUGCACCUUAUGAGAAAUC